rnacentral:rRNA from 1 species
ACGUACACUCCUACGGGAGGCAGCAGUGGGGAAUAUUGCACAAUGGGCGCAAGCCUGAUGCAGCCAUGCCGCGUGUAUGAAGAAGGCCUUCGGGUUGUAAAGUACUUUCAGCGGGGAGGAAGGCGAUAAGGUUAAUAACCUUGUCGAUUGACGUUACCCGCAGAAGAAGCACCGGCUAACUCCGUGCCAGCAGCCGCGAUAAUACGGAGGGUGCAAGCGUUAAUCGGAAUUACUGGGCGUAAAGCGCACGCAGGCGGUCUGUCAAGUCGGAUGUGAAAUCCCCGGGCUCAACCUGGGAACUGCAUUCGAAACUGGCAGGCUAGAGUCUUGUAGAGGGGGGUAGAAUUCCAGGUGUAGCGGUGAAAUGCGUAGAGAUCUGGAGGAAUACCGGUGGCGAAGGCGGCCCCCUGGACAAAGACUGACGCUCAGGUGCGAAAGCGUGGGGAGCAAACAGGAUUAGAAACCCCAGUAGUCCC